UUUUUGGUCUUAUCUACAGCCCAGCUCAGCCCCAAUUGCUACGUGUUGAGAAAUCUCAUCUCCUCUCAUCUUCUUUUUGUUUCUUUCUCUCUCUCUCUAAACUCUAAGGUUGGCCGGUUGAUGGUUGAAGAAAGAAGGAUUUUGGAGCAGGGAAAAGCUUGGUAGAGCUGAAUUUCAAGGGCUGUGAAGGAGAAAUUAAAGUAUAGAAUUGGUGUGGAGCUGAGAAGAAAAAGUUGCUGCCUUGAGCGAAUUUCUUUGGUGCUCUGAGCUGAAAAGAAGACCUUGGAAUAGAAUUUUGGAUUGUUGGAGCUGAAGGCAACUUGGUGGAAUAUUGAAUUAAGGAGUAGCAGACUGAUUGUUUCGGGCUUGUAGGAGCUGCAGGGAAGGUUUACGAAGCUGAGAAACCAUUGAGGAAGCUUCGAAUUAGGAAGCUGAGUGGAGCUUGGAACUUAGCAAGCUAUGAAAGGCAAGAUGAAGUGCUGAAAUCUCAACAAGAACUCAGCGUGAUGUAGAAUACAUUGUGAGCUGAAAUCAAACCAAUUGGGCAAUGAAGUAGGGCUGCAGCUGAGGGAAGUUGCUGUCCUGGUGAGGUAAGCAAUCAAGUUGGUGGCUGCCUGGACUGAAACUUAGUGAAUUGGAGAGCAGUUUGGUACAACUAGUGAGGUCGACGACGCGCUAAUUACGGUAGAGGCCGUUCUAGUUCUAUUUGCACCCAGUCGCGAGAGCUAGUUGUCAACGUGUUUCGAGAUGUGAGAUCUUAGUUGUUGACACCACUACAGGUUCCAGCGCGAGCGGUGUGGCCGAGGAUCGCGGCAAGAGCCCAGCAGCUUAGCUAGUGGACACCCGAGUGCUAGUGGCAUACCAUUUUGAGUUCAUGUGAGAUGUUUUGAUGUAUAGAGACAUGUAAAUGAAUGUAUUAGAGAGCAUGUAUAUAACUAAAUCUUUCAGUUAUUCAGUUCAAUUUAAAAAGUUUUAAAUGACA